AAUAGGUCUUAACCAAAUUAAGAACCUAAUUUAAUCAGAUUAAAUUAGAUUUAAAUCUGAUUUAAUUUUUUAAUCAAAUUAAAAAUUAGGUUGACCCAAGUCCUAUUUGGACUAGGACUAGUUUUUUCUUGCACUUGGCUUAUCCAAUAAACUAAUUGAACUUGAUCCAAUCAAGCCUAAACCAAAUCUAAUUAAAUCAUAUUUAAUUAGACU
rnacentral:lncRNA from 1 species